UGCACACAUCCUCAUUCAUUGCGGUGAUUACUUUGCCACAUAUUUCAUUAAAUACACUAUUUUUAAGUUAAGUGAACCAUCAUUUCAGUGAAAGAGAGGCACCCUGCAAGACAUCGUCUCACAGGCAGGGAAACAUGCCAGCACACUGACACCUGUUACAAACCGAGCCCAUUUUAAUAACAGAAUCCACAAGUCAGAAACACUAAAUUCCCCCUUCUCCACAUCUGUUGCAGGCAGUUCUUCGGGGUACUCAAAAUCUGACUUGUGGCCGGAAGUGCAUCUGCUUUGUAGCGUUGUUACUCAUUCCCAUCUUGAGCAUCCACUUGGACUUCAUCCUUUGCAAGUACUGCAUAUCACGCUUCUGAGCAAAGACUGCCCCUGUCUGGCUUGUCCAGCCCAAAGCUCUGUACUGCUGCAACACCCGACCCACUGCUUUCUUAUUUUUA
rnacentral:lncRNA from 1 species